AAAUAACGGAGGGGGAAGACCAGGAAAAAAAAAAGGUGGGGGGAGAGACUUGGCAAAGGAAAUCUUAUGGGUAUAGGGGAACUGCAGAUCUCUGAAUUCCGAAACAAGAGCUAGAGCUGAAAUGUGAUUCUCUAGUGCCUGGCGUAGCUCGCAUCUCGCCGGUUACAAUUGUGCAGGAUGCUCAGAGGAGCCCUUUGGAUCGCACAAUGAACUUGGGGGGACCAUACAGCCGAGCAAGCCAGUAAGGCACCUGGAAGUUUGGCUAGGAUUUCGAGGGGGGUUUUCUGAUUCUUAGGAGAAUCCUGCCUGCUUUCAGCUGUGUGGAGGAGGACUCCAGUUUCCCCAUGAGGGGCCCACUUGGAAAAACCGUCUGUGCAGACUCCCGACUAAGCUGCUGUGUUUGUUAUUUACCCCAAACCUCUUCUCACCUUUGCUGAUUUUGUUCAUGCGAUUUACACCUACUGAGCCACGGGAAGGAUUUUAGGAUGGAUUGUCUGUGUAUUGUCACCACCAAGCACAACCAAGGAAAAUGCCCAGCCCAGAACUGCUCAGUGGAACCUCCUGCCUGGAUGCCUGUUCACCACUGUACUGUAAGUUUGAGAUUUUUGAUUCCCAGUUUGGUGAAGCAGAAGGCUGAGAGUUCUCAGU
rnacentral:lncRNA from 1 species